rnacentral:rRNA from 1 species
GACGAACGCUGGCGGCGUGCUUAACACAUGCAAGUCGAACGAUGAAGAAAAGAAUUGAAGCUUCGGCAGAAAUUCAUUUCGGAUUAGUGGCAGACGGGUGAGUAACGCGUGAGCAACCUACCUCUUACAAAGGGAUAGCCUCGGGAAACCGGGAUUAAUACCAUAUAACAUUGCGACGAAGCAUUUCGCUGCAAUCAAAGCUACGGCGGUAAGAGAUGGGCUCGCGUCCCAUUAACCAGAUGGUGAGGUAACGGCUCACCAUAGUAACGAUGGGUAACCGGGCUGAGAGGGUGAACGGUCACACUGGAACUGAGACACGGUCCAGAAUCCUACGGGAGGCAGCAGUGGGGAAUAUUGCACAAUGGAGGGAACUCUGAUGCAGCGACGCCGCGUGAGUGAUGAAGGAAUUCGUUACGUAAAACUCUGUUCUAUGGGAAGAAAAGGACUGUACCAAAGGAGAAAGCUCCGGCUAAAUACGUG